rnacentral:rRNA from 1 species
UACAGAGGGUGCAAGCGUUGCUCGGAAUCAUUGGGCGUAAAGCGCACGUAGGCGGCCUAGCAAGUAGGGAGUGAAAGCCCUCGGCUUAACCGAGGAAGUGCUUUCUAAACUACUAGGCUUGAAUACUGGAGAGGGUCGCGGAAUUCCCGGUGUAGAGGUGAAAUUCGUAGAUAUCGGGAGGAACACCAGUGGCGAAGGCGGCUAUCUGGACGGUUUCUGACGCUAAGACGCGAAAGCGUGGGGAGCAAACAGG